GUGGGGUUGGCAGAGUGGUCGAUUGCGGGGGACUGUAAAUCCUCACUGAAAGGCGCGGUGGUUCGAAUCCAUCAUCCCACA
rnacentral:tRNA from 5 species